UCCAAGCCACAUCUGAGAAAACUUUUUGUUUGUCUGCCAUAACCAGAGCAGCAUGUCCCAGAUAGAAGCUGUUCCAUCAGCCUCAUUUCCAGAAUGAAGAGGAAUGAAUGGAAAGCAGAGAUGCAGUUAAAGCAUACUGGUUUUACCACACUUGGAAGUAAUCUCUCACCUUCUGAACAACCAUGACAUCCCUCCAAAAUGUCCAUCCCCCACUGGUGGUUACUCUGAAAUAUUACUCAGUCUACUGAGCAGUGAAAGUUGACUCAAGAUUCCUGGAAGGAAGGUGAGUGGCUGACCUCCUGUUCCACUGCCUGGAAUCUCCUUGGACUCUGGAACAGAGAAUUUAAAAUAUUAAUGCUUUGAAUAAUAAAUUAGAGCUUAAAGUAAAUGAGGUAUGAGCAUAACCAUUUUAAUUAGUUUUAGGCACAAUUUAAUGAUUGUUUGGCCAUUAACGCCAGUAAACAUAAAAAUGCAUGGGAACAAGAUGUAUGAGUUCCUUGUUACUUAGCUUUGUUUUAACUGAAGACUUUGCAAAGAUGUAUAUCAUUUUAAUUUUGGUUCCAGAGGCUUUUAUGUAAAUUAAUUGCAUUGGAGAAUUGGCAAGAACAUUUUAUUCAAUUUGGAACAGCAGUGAUUAUAAGCUUUACAUUAAUAUAACAACAAUUUAACAAUGGCUGAUAGAUGGGCCACAGCCAUGCAAUUAUCAGAAGUGAGCCACUCUCUUGAUCUCUAAUUAGGUCUAUAAGCAAAUAGAGUUUUGCCAGCACUAAUUGCUGUAUUAAAGCUGGUAGUGAGGUAACAAGUGAGUCCACGUUAAGGUAGUCAGCAUAGGGUGCUGUAUAUCCAGAGAUUUUUCCCAUUUUUUGACUUAAUCAGAUAUGCAAUUAAAUUAUAUAUGUUGUGGAAAUAGACAUUUAACUGAAUUGGAAAGCAGUCGCCUCCUGGCUCAAUACAACCAUAUGUCUUGUUAACUGUAGACACCAGUGCUUCAAGUCUAAAGGAUAAGCAUUAGGUUGUUUUCCCACCCUCCUUACGGCCUGCUCAGAUGCCUGUCCUCCUCUAAUAGCUUCAACUCUAAUAGGACCUAGAAUGCCUAGUGCUACAUGCCAGACAAAUACGUCGGUCGACGGAGGAGGAUGAAUAAUCUUUGAUUUGUUGCUGCACAUUAGUAGGGAUUAAAAAGCACUCAAAGGGGAUUUGGAAGGCAUUUGAGCACCAGGCUAGAUAUUGUGGGACCCAUUUUAAAGAAGGCAGGAAAUCCCUUUAUUUUUUUCAGGCUUUGACUAAAAGCUUGGCCCAUUAUGAGACAAAGGCUAUUUGCCUUAUUUUAUUUUUUUUUUCGCCAGCGUAUUCUAAUGCGCACAUCAACAACAUUUAAAGGGAAAAGUUUUUAGUUUAGGCAUCAGGUUGAUUUCAAGCUAGAUCUGGAAAAGGCAGUUUUCUAAGGAAGCGUCCCUAAGAAGUCAACUCAGAGAGAAAUGAUCACAUAAUUUUUAGAAGGGAAAUUACUUCUGGAAAUACUCCUCCAACUGAAAAAUAAAUAAGUCCUCCCCACCCUUAUUUGAAAUGGAAAUUGAUGUGCAUGUGUGUCCAUGAUAAAGAACUUAAUAUAAUUCUAUCAGGGAAUAAUUUCAAAUCUUUGACCUGCUCUUUUGUAUCCCAAGCAGUGACCAUUGGAAGAAAUAAUGUUCAGAGGUCACAAAGGGCAAAAUUUGAGAGCAGGAGAUAACUAUUGUGCAAACAAUAAUUUUGCAUGUGAAAUAUUAAUGCCAUCAUUUAGAGAGGUACCUAGAAAACAUAGAAGAUAUAUAUAGAUAUACAGAUAUGUGUGUGUGUGUAUAUAUAUAUAUGUAUAUAAUGACAGAUAUAUAACUGAUAAUUACUAUUUCACUGAUAAUUUAUUCUGGGAAUUGCAUACAUUUGUGUUAGCAGUCACUUGUACCUAACAGUUACUCGCUGGACAACUAGGGGAUGAAUAGGUGUGCCCAUCACUCACUUGGGUGAAGUGAUCUCAAAGGAGGAUCAGACUCAGUGUUUCUGUGUCAGGCCUGGACUGUGCUGGCCACUUAUCAGGAUAAGGCUCUGCUCUGAGCUAUUCCUGAGGUAGAGGUGUCAGCGAAUAGCUAUGACAAAACAUGAAGCUUGACCUUCUCCAGUUCUUUACCUUGACUUAUUCAAACCUGGGGUAUCCAUCACCAACCUCAGGAUAAGGGAUAGAAUCUCCCAAAGAUGGUUAUUAAUUUGCCCAGUGCAGGUUAGAAGAAGGAAAUGCUCUUGGAGAGAGGGGGAUCUUUAGAGCCAGGUUAGGGAGACAAGCAUAGAGUCCGCCCUCCACACCACAUCUGCAGAUUGCACAUGUGUGGUUGAUUGAAUUAGUGAAUACGAAACCGGCAGGUGGAGCGCUGACUGUACCACACCAUUUUGUGUAAGGGACUAGUGGAUCUAUGUGUUUUGGUAACCUCCGGGGGGUCCUGGGAUCCCACCAAGGAUGCCAGAAAAUGACCUUCUCAGGAGAACAUCCCAGCAAGGGAUCAGCUUUCUAAGAACCAUGGGUAAAGCAGUAGUUAGCCAACUGUUUGAAAUUUUCUCCUUUUGUUACAGUUCACCCAAAUUACCCCUACCCUCUGGUAUAAUCAUUAAUACUCAUUUAGCUUUGCUCAGUGGUGUAGUGGGGAACAAAACUACGGAAACAGAAAUGGAAGACCUGGACUUUCCUCCAUCAACCUAUAGUCAGGUGCUCAUGAAAGGAGGACAUUCCUGGUGGUAACUGGCAGCAAAUGGAUCACCUGGCCAUGCAGCUGGGGGAAUCAUCCUGGACGGUCCACUAGGGUCAUGGAGAAAGGUUACUCUUGCAGGUGGUUGAGGAGGAGGAGAAUGUUGUUUCUAUCGGAUUCACAAAAUCUUAGGACUUAAAUUAUAAACCGUGUGUGUGUGUGUGCAUGCGCUUAUGCAUGUAUGUGCCUAAUUGCAUUGUGGAAAGGGCAUCUGAUUUGGCACAAUUGCCAUUCAAAGUGUUAUUACCUUUUCUGGCAGGUUCAAAUUUUCACAGAGUUAAUUUUUCACAAAGUUAUUCUGACGUAGCAAAAGUGUGCGGCAAGGAAAACCCUGCAUUGUAGCUUGGUGGUCUUCAGGUAAUUCACACUUCACAAUAACUAAGAAAGUAGUCUCUAUGUACCUUAGUAAAAACAAAGUGCAAUAACUGCUUCUCUGACUACUACUACAUGCCAAAAUCAUUGUGAAAUAUGUGUGUAUAUAAGAUAUGUCUAUGUCUUGUCUCUUUUGUCAAAGAUUAAUC